UACGGAGGGUGCAAGCGUUUGUCCGGAAUCACUGGGCGUAAAGGGCGCGUAGGCGGCUCAGUGAAGGCUGUGGUGAAAGUCCGGGGCUCAACCUCGGAUCGGCCGUGGCGACUCGUGGGCUGGAGCACUGUAGAGGCGGGUGGAAUUCCGGGUGUAGCGGUGGAAUGCGUAGAGAUCCGGAAGAACACCAGUGGCGAAGGCGGCCCGCUGGGCAGUGGCUGACGCUGAGGCGCGACAGCGUGGGGAGCAAACAGG
rnacentral:rRNA from 1 species